rnacentral:rRNA from 1 species
GACGAACGCUGGCGGCGUGCCUAAUACAUGCAAGUAGAACGCUGAAGAGAGGAGCUUACUCUUCUUGGAUGAGUUGCGAACGGGUGAGUAACGCGUAGGUAACCUGCCUUGUAGCGGGGGAUAACUAUUGGAAACGAUAGCUAAUACCGCAUAACAAUGGAUGACACAUGUCAUUUAUUUGAAAGGGGCAAUUGCUCCACUACAAGAUGGAACUGCGUUGUAUUAGCUAGUAGGUGAGGUAAUGGCUCACCUAGGCGACGAUACAUAGCCGACCUGAGAGGGUGCGCGGCCACACUGGGACUGAGACACGGCCCAGACUCCUACGGGAGGCAGCAGUAGGGAAUCUUCGGCAAUGGGGGCAACCCUGACCGAGCAACGCCGCGUGAGUGAAGAAGGUUUUCGGAUCGUAAAGCUCUGUUGUAAGUCAAGAACGGGUGUGAGAGUGGAAAGUUCACACUGUGACGGUAGCUUACCAGAAAGGGACGGCUAACUACGUG